GACGAACGCUGGCGGCGUGCUUAACACAUGCAAGUCGAACGGAAAGGCCCUGCUUGCAGGGUACUCGAGUGGCGAACGGGUGAGUAACACGUGGGUGAUCUGCCCUGCACUUCGGGAUACGCCUGGUAAUAUGGGUCUAAUACCGGAUAGGAGCCAUUUUCAGUGUGAUGGUUGGAACGCUUUUUCGGUGUAGGAUGAGCUCGCGGCCUAUCAGCUUGUUGGUGGGGUAAUGGGCUACCAAGGCGGCGACGGGUAGCCGGCCUGGGAGGGUGGACAGCCACAGUGGGACUGGGAUUCAGCCCAGGCUCCUACGGGAGGGAGCGGUGGGGGUGAGGACUAAAGGGGCAUGAGCCUGAUGCAGCGACGCCGCGGGGGGGAUGACGGCCUUCGGGUUGUGAACGCCUUUCGCUAGGGACGAAGCUUUUUGUGACGGUACCUAGAUAAGAAGCACCGGCUAACUACGUG
rnacentral:rRNA from 1 species